AUUCAGAUGACGAAUUCCAAAUAGGACGAAACGCGUGUCCUGGAU
rnacentral:hammerhead_ribozyme from 1 species